AGUUGUCAUCGAUUCACAUAUAUCUGUAUGUACUAGGGCUAACAACUCAUUUGCCCUCUCUCCAUGUUCAGAAAAUAGAGACUUGGUCAUCUUACCCAUGAAACAAGAUUCACAAGUUCCCAAUGAUUCAUAAUCAUAUGGGUCAAAAAAUUCUUCUUUGUAUCACUUGUUUAUCCGUGACUCACUAAUAUGACCAAGAUGGCAACGUCAAAGAUAUG
rnacentral:lncRNA from 1 species